rnacentral:rRNA from 1 species
UACGUAGGUGGCAAGCGUUGUCCGGAUUUAUUGGGUUUAAAGGGUGCGUAGGCGGCCCUGUAAGUCAGUGCUGAAAUAUCCCGGCUUAACCGGGAGGGUGGCAUUGAUACUGCGGGGCUUGAGUAAAGUUGAGGUUGGCGGAAUUGACGGUGUAGCGGUGAAAUGCUUAGAUAUCGUCAAGAACACCGAUAGCGAAGGCAGCUUACUGGGCUGUAACUGACGCUGAGGCACGAAAGUGUGGGGAUCAAACAGG